rnacentral:rRNA from 1 species
AUUGAACGCUGGCGGCAGGCCUAACACAUGCAAGUCGAGCGGAUGAAGGGAGCUUGCUCCCGGAUUCAGCGGCGGACGGGUGAGUAAUGCCUAGGAAUCUGCCUGGUAGUGGGGGAUAACGUCCGGAAACGGGCGCUAAUACCGCAUACGUCCUGAGGGAGAAAGUGGGGGAUCUUCGGACCUCACGCUAUCAGAUGAGCCUAGGUCGGAUUAGCUAGUUGGUGGGGUAAAGGCCUACCAAGGCGACGAUCCGUAACUGGUCUGAGAGGAUGAUCAGUCACACUGGAACUGAGACACGGUCCAGACUCCUACGGGAGGCAGCAGUGGGGAAUAUUGGACAAUGGGCGAAAGCCUGAUCCAGCCAUGCCGCGUGUAUGAAGAAGGUCUUCGGAUUGUAAAGCACUUUAAGUUGGGAGGAAGGGCAGUAAGUUAAUACCUUGCUGUUUUGACGUUACCAACAGAAUAAGCACCGGCUAACUUCGUG